GGUGGGGUAGCUCAGUUGGUAGAGCAACGGAUUGAAAAUCCGUGUGUCGGCGGUUCAAGUCCGCCCCUCACCA
rnacentral:tRNA from 1 species